rnacentral:rRNA from 1 species
CAAUAGCGUAUAUUAAAGUUGUUGCAGUUAAAAAGCUCGUAGUUGGAUCUGUGGUGUGCGGUGGGCUCCGGGCACUUGUUGUCUGAGUAGCUCGCCGCUGCCAUCCUUGGGUGGAACCUGUGUGGCAUUAGGUUGUCGUGCAGGGGAUGCCCAUCGUUUACUGUGAAAAAAUUAGAGUGUUCAAAGCAGGCUUAUGCCGUUGAAUAUAUUAGCAUGGAACAAUGAGAUAGGACUUUUUCGCUAUUUUGUUGGUUUGCGCGAAGAGGUAAUGAUUAAUAGGGACAGUUGGGGGUAUUCGUAUUCCAUUGUCAGAGGUGAAAUUCUUGGAUUUUUGGACGACGAACUACUGCGAAAGCAUUUACCAAGGAUGUUUUCAUUAA